CCUACGGGAGGCUGCAGUGAGGAAUAUUCGUCAAUGGACGAGAGUCUGAACCAGCCAAGUAGCGUGAAGGAUGACUGCCCUAUGGGUUGUAAACUUCUUUUAUAUGGGAAUAAAAUGUUCCACGUGUGGGAUUUUGUAUGUACCAUAUGAAUAAGGAUCGGCUAACUCCGUGCCAGCAGCCGCGGUAAUACGGAGGAUCCGAGCGUUAUCCGGAUUUAUUGGGUUUAAAGGGAGCGUAGGUGGAUUGUUAAGUCAGUUGUGAAAGUUUGCGGCUCAACCGUAAAAUUGCAGUUGAAACUGGCAGUCUUGAGUACAGUAGAGGUGGGCGGAAUUCGUGGUGUAGCGGUGAAAUGCUUAGAUAUCACGAAGAACUCCGAUUGCGAAGGCAGUUCACUGGACUGCAACUGACACUGAGGCUCGAAAGUGUGGGUAUCAAACAGGAUUAGAUACCAUAGUAGUC
rnacentral:rRNA from 1 species